AUUUUGAAAUAACACCCCACGUGGUUUCAUUAUGCAGCUGAGUCACGUGACCGCACAGCAACAAAUCACAGCAGAGGCCGGGAAAGGGGGCGGAGCAAGGUGUGUGUGUGUGUGUGCAGUAGAUGAGGCGAGCAUAGAGAGAGCUGCUUUUCAUAAAACGGGACUAAUGUAGUAAACUUACAGGAACAUAUACCACUACCAACGUUUGGAUCGAUAUCUGCAUCGAUCUGCACACCCUUGUCUCCUGGAUCGUAGCUGAGAUCAGCGUGAACCACGUGGGUCUCUGCUCCCUGAUCUGUUUCCUGUGUUUAGAAAGACUUCCAGCUUCAUCACGGAGUUUCUCUCGGUUUGUGGGCUCAUGUAAAGGUAAGCACCGAGCUAACUUUAAUGUGGGUUCAGUUUAUGUUGAGUUUAUCUCUGUUGCGAACUAUAGAUUGAUUGGUAUUCAUUGGAGUUAGACAGACUGUAGAGUUUGUGAUUGCUUGCAACAUUAUAAUCUGGCGGUAGCUGACUGCGGUUAAGGCUACGUCCACACGUACACGGGUAUUUUUGAAAACGGAGAUUUUCCGUUUUCGUUUUAAAAAAUAAUCCCGUCCACACGUAAACGCAGAAAUGAAGGAAAACGCUGCAGCUCUCCCGCUGACAGCCGUACACAUCACCACCACCAAAUCUGCAGCGGCAUCGCAGAACACGCCCUGCCACAUACCCCCUCGUCCGCUUCACUUCACCCUGCAAGCAGGCGCGGGAAUCGGCACGGACCCAUCGGCGCACCAUGCCCCAGCCCAGCGAUGGGGAAGUGUCCACUCUGGCGGUCGCUCGCGCCUCCAGCGGAAGCCCCGGAGCUGGCCUGAUGGCCACCCAUAUGGCAAGCAGCAGCGGCGCAGCAGGCGGGGAAGUGAGCUGGGGCUCACAGGCAGCUGGGCCUGCGUGCCGGUGUUCUGACAAAACAUCCUACUUUGGCAAAACGUCCUACCUGUAGGAAAAUUUUACGGUGUCCUCUGACAAAACGUCCUACUUUGGCAAACCGUCCUACCAGUAGGAUAAUUUUACGCUGCCUUAUGACAAACUGCCCUACUUUGGCAAAAUGUCCUACUGUACGUAAUUUAUGCACAUUUCUGCUGCCACACAAUAAUUCCAGUACAAAUUUAAGUAGGUAUGACGGUUUGCCACUUAACUUUGCCCAUCAGAGUAUGUUUGUAGCUGAUAUUCAUAAAGCCAGUACGGUUUGACACUUCUUUUUACCCAUUAAAGUGUGCUUGUAGGUCACAUUCACAAAGGUAGCAUGGUUUGGCACGUAAUUCUUCCCGUCAGUGUAUGCUUCUUGCUCUUAUUAACAAAGGUAGCAUGUUACGAGUAUGUCUGAUACAAAAAAGAAAGUGGAAACUUUCAGGACAGAGUUUUGGAAUGAUUGUAUAACUGUGUAAUCGUGCUUAUGUACAUCUGGAGAAUGACACAAACUAGCGUGUGGAGCUUCAAGUUGAAUAACUAAAUUACUUUUGUCAUUACAUCAAUAACUAAACUCUAAAUAGUAGUUAUAUUUAAUAUUAUGUUAAUGUUUGUGUAUAACAGAUUGGCAGCUUAACACAGGAAUGUACAUGGAAACAAAUAGGGAGGGAGUUGUGAUGUGAAUGUGCUUGUGACUUUAUAACAGUGCCUAUGACACUAGGGAGAAGUUUUCAUUUUUUUAUUGAAAAAUAGCAGCUUUUUCACAGUGCUGGGAUUAAGACGGUUCCUCUUUUUUGAGAGGAUUUCCCCUGCUUUUGAAAAUACCUUUUCACAGGGCACAGGCGAAGCAGCGGUUGCAAGAAAAACCGAAUGAAAGUAACUAAAUACAAUAAAAUGGUAAAACAUGGCCUGGGGCGCACUGACAGAGGAGAGGCUGCCAGACACUGGCGGUGUUUUGCCCAAGGACACAAUGACCAAGACUGUCCAAGCCGGGGCUCGAACCAGCAACCUUCAGAUUACAAGACGAACUGCCAACUCUUGAGCCACGAUCGCCUCAUAAUAAAUCAAAAUGUGCUCAUAUACCUCGAGUCACAGGCUGAAAAGCUUCUGAUGAAGAAGCUGCUAAAGAUGAGGCUCCUAACACUGCAGAAUGCAAUGCAGUGUUAGAAUCGAUGAAAUGGUAGGUGACAGCAAGGUAAGGCUCUGUGUUAAUGGAGGUCCACAUAUCAGAUGUCAAACUAACUGCAGAAGUCUUUGCCACAGUCAGUUUUUCUGUUUGUUUGGACUCUUUGUAUCUUUGGACCACCAUAGCUUUCAAAUCCUAAACAAAAGAAAGUGCAACUCUUAAUAUGGAAAUAUGGGCAAAAUGGAAACAGGCUUCAUAUUUUAAGAUACACACCUGCCUUGUGGGGAAAACAUAGUUAGUGUUCAAAGCUUUAACACGCUUUCUAAACUCACGGUCCUCAACAAUAGUGAAGGGCUGGGAAUCUUCUAUCACCAUGUUGGCCAAGGACUCAUCCACAUCAUUCUUCUCCCCUGAUAAAACAAACAGAACAUUAAGAAAUUACAUAUAUCAGUAAAUACAGCCCAAAUAGGAAUGAAUGACAUGGGCAAUAUAAAUGUAUCACAUGACCAGCAUUGGGACUAACUCGUUAUUAGGUAACAUGUUACAGUAACUACGUUAUUAUUGUGGUAACGAGCACGGUAACUAGUUAUUAUGACAAAAUCAGGAA